rnacentral:rRNA from 1 species
UGCAGUCGACGGCAGCACAGGGGAGCUUGCUCCCUGGGUGGCGAGUGGCGGACGGGUGAGGAAUACGUCGGAAUCUGCCUUUUUGUGGGGGAUAACGUAGGGAAACUUACGCUAAUACCGCAUACGACCUUCGGGUGAAAGUGGGGGACCGCAAGGCCUCACGCAGAUAGAUGAGCCGACGUCGGAUUAGCUAGUUGGCGGGGUAAAGGCCCACCAAGGCGACGAUCCGUAGCUGGUCUGAGAGGAUGAUCAGCCACACUGGAACUGAGACACGGUCCAGACUCCUACGGGAGGCAGCAGUGGGGAAUAUUGGACAAUGGGCGCAAGCCUGAUCCAGCCAUGCCGCGUGGGUGAAGAAGGCCUUCGGGUUGUAAAGCCCUUUUGUUGGGAAAGAAAACUUUCCGAUUAAUACUCGGAGAGAAUGACGGUACCCAAAGAAUAAGCACCGGCUAACUUCGUGCCAGCAGCCGCGGUAAUACGAAGGGUGCAAGCGUUACUCGGAAUUACUGGGCGUAAAGCGUGCGUAGGUGGUUCGUUAAGUCUGAUGUGAAAGCCCUGGGCUCAACCUGGGAAUUGCAUUGGAUACUGGCGGGCUAGAGUACGGUAGAGGGUAGUGGAAUUCCUGGUGUAGCAGUGAAAUGCGUAGAGAUCAGGAGGAACAUCCGUGGCGAAGGCGACUACCUGGACCAGUACUGACACUGAGGCACGAAAG